rnacentral:misc_RNA from 1 species
GUGAAUCAUCAAAUCUUUGAACGCAAAUUGCACUCCCUGGUAUUCCGGGGAGUAUGCCUGUUUGAGGGUCGUUAGAACAAAAAUCGCGGCGUCGCUCUUUUUUUUUAGGGUGAUCGCGUCGGAAUUGAGCCGUCUUUCAUAUGUUAAUUGAUGUCAAAGUAGCUUGAAAUUCAUCCAUCCGGUACGAUUAAAUCGUAUUUAUGAUCAACUUUGUUUAAGAACGCGCGAUGAACGUACCAUCUCAUGUAGUACGUUUGACUUGAUGACAUCAUGAUCACUCGUCUACGAAACUCA